UACGAAGGGGGCUAGCGUUGUUCGGAAUUACUGGGCGUAAAGCGUGCGCAGGCGGCUAUCCAAGUCAGUGGUGAAAGCCCGGAGCUCAACUCCGGAAUUGCCAUUGAAACUGUUCAGCUCGAGUACGAGAGAGGUGAGUGGAAUUCCCAGUGUAGAGGUGAAAUUCGUAGAUAUUGGGAAGAACACCGGUGGCGAAGGCGGCUCACUGGCUCGUAACUGACGCUCAUGCACGACAGCGUGGGGAUCAAACAGG
rnacentral:rRNA from 1 species